UACGUUAGUGGCGCACGGGUGAGUAACGCGUGGAUAUCUGCCUUUUGGUUCGGGAUAACCUUGGGAAACUAGGGCUAAUACCGAAUGGUUCCUACGGGAUAAAGAUUUAUCGCCAAAAGAUGAGUCCGCGUCCGAUUAGCUAGUUGGUGAGGUAAUGGCUCACCAAGGCGACGAUCGGUAGCUGGUCUGAGAGGACGAUCAGCCACACUGGGACUGAGACACGGCCCAGACUCCUACGGGAGGCAGCAGUGGGGAAUAUUGGACAAUGGGGGCAACCCUGAUCCAGCCAUGCCGCGUGAGUGAUGAAGGCCUUCGGGUUGUAAAGCUCUUUUGGCGGGGACGAUGAUGACGGUACCCGCAGAAUAAGCCCCGGCUAACUUCGUGCCA
rnacentral:rRNA from 1 species